AAGCACAGGAAGGAUGGGUCAAGGACAGGUCAGUGAUGCCCUUAGAUGGUCCGGGCUGCACGCGCACUACAGUGGUCGCCGAAAUAAAUUUAUAGAUUUAAAGGCGAUCGAGAGGGAAUGAGCUUUGUAAGAGGCUCAGGAACGAGGAAUUGCUAGUAAUCGCGGACUCAUUAAGACGCGAUGAAUACGUCCCUGUUCUUUGUACACACCGCCCGUCGUUAUCAAAGAUGAAGACAGGCGCGAACGAUCUACCAGAAAGUGAGCGCAGGUCUUUAGAUCUGAUACAAGUCGUAACAAGGUAGCUGUAGGAGAACCUGUAGCUG
rnacentral:rRNA from 1 species